rnacentral:tRNA from 1 species
GCCACCGUAGCUCAGCCGGAAGAGCAGCUGAUUUGUAAUCAGCAGGUCGGGAGUUCGAACCUCCCCGGUGGCU